CAGGGAGACAACAAAAUGUUAAAUAUUAAUUUUGUCACCUUAGGUCGAUCGGUAUCUCACAUUCUUAAACAUAUUAAGAAUUUUAUUUCCUAAGUUUUUUCUAGGUCACACCCAAAUUUUCCUGGGCCAUUAGCUCAGGUGGUUAGAGCGCACCCCUGAUAAGGGUGAGGUCCCUGGUUCAAGUCCAGGAUGGCCCAUAUCUCUAUGUUGGGGGUAUAGCUCAGUUGGUAGAGCGCCUGCUUUGCAAGCAGGAUGUCAGCGGUUCGAGUCCGCUUACCUCCACUGAUCACCACCUCUUCCAUAAUUUAUAGAAGGGAAAAUUCUUGAGUCGUGAUUAAAUUCUGAACGAAUCUAGCUUCCUAAUAACUUUAUUAAGAUGCUGGACUCAUUGAAUUAAUUUCAUUGUUUUCAGAGAACCUUGACAACUGCAUAGAUUAUUUUUAAAGACAAUAAGCAUCUUUAAUGAUGCAGAUUUAUUAUUUGUGCGAAUGCAUUAAUAACAAUUCUAUUAAGCUGAUGCUUCAA
rnacentral:tRNA from 1 species